rnacentral:lncRNA from 1 species
GGGUAAGGAGGCCUUGUUCACUUUGAUCCUGCAUGGUGCUAACAGUUUGUGAGGGAGGCACAAAUGAGACGAGAUCCUGCCUGGAAAGAGAAAAGCCUGACCCACUGCCUACAGGAAACGGGCUGCCUUCGUUCCAGCACUAAUGGCUCCAUGAGGAUGUUUCAGUGGGGGCAUGAGUGAGAGCCCCUGCCACAUGGGAGUCUAGAGGAGUGGAGAGGUCAGCGCGGAGCAGAGAAAAGUGUGAGUCGUGACCUGCCUGACCCUCCCAGGGGAGCUGUCUGGGCAGGUGUUGGUGCUGGGGGCGUUGCCCACGGUGGCAGCGUGACCACAGACAGCUGCUCCUGGGUCAGCAACUAGGGCUUGGUUGUCUGCAUCUGGCCUAGGAAAGUGUUAAGGCAGGGAUUUGUCCGGCUCAUUCAGGAGCAGCAGAGACUCAUGGGCCAGGAGUGAAGUUGCAGAUGCGGGAGGCCACCCGCGUGGGCUUAGAGCAGCGCUAGAGGGACUUUGGCUUUGACCGGAAUGAGA